rnacentral:rRNA from 1 species
UACGUAGGGGGCAAGCGUUGUCCGGAAUCAUUGGGCGUAAAGCACGCGUAGGCGGCCCGGUAAGUCCGUUGUGAAAGUCAAAGGCUCAACCUUUGAAUGCCGACGGAUACUGCCGGGCUAGAGUCCGGAAGAGGCGAGUGGAAUUCCUGGUGUAGCGGUGGAAUGCGCAGAUAUCGGGAGGAACACCAGUGGCGAAGGCGACUACCUGGCCUGUUCUUGACGCUGAGGCGCGAAAGCUAGGGGAGCAAACGGG